GAUGAACGCUGGCGGCGUGCCUAAUACAUGCAAGUCGAGCGAACAGACGAGGAGCUUGCUCCUCUGACGUUAGCGGCGGACGGGUGAGUAACACGUGGAUAACCUACCUAUAAGACUGGGAUAACUUCGGGAAACCGGAGCUAAUACCGGAUAAUAUAUUGAACCGCAUGGUUCAAUAGUGAAAGACGGUUUUGCUGUCACUUAUAGAUGGAUCCGCGCCGCAUUAGCUAGUUGGUAAGGUAACGGCUUACCAAGGCAACGAUCCGUAGCCGACCUGAGAGGGUGAUCGGCCACACUGGAACUGAGACACGGUCCAGACUCCUACGGGAGGCAGCAGUAGGGAAUCUUCCGCAAUGGGCGAAAGCCUGACGGAGCAACGCCGCGUGAGUGAUGAAGGUCUUCGGAUCGUAAAGCUCUGUUAUUAGGGAAGAACAAAUGUGUAAUUAACUAUGCACGUCUUGACGGUACCUAAUCAGAAAGCCACGGCUAACUACGUG
rnacentral:rRNA from 1 species